GAAAGAUGACUGGGGUGAAGUAGUAACAAGGUAGCCGUAGGAGAACCUGCGGCUGGAUCACCUCCUUUCUAAGGAAUAA
rnacentral:rRNA from 1 species